rnacentral:rRNA from 1 species
AUUGAACGCUGGCGGCAGGCCUAACACAUGCAAGUCGAACGGUAACAGGAAACAGCUUGCUGUUUCGCUGACGAGUGGCGGACGGGUGAGUAAUGUCUGGGAAACUGCCUGAUGGAGGGGGAUAACUACUGGAAACGGUAGCUAAUACCGCAUAACGUCGCAAGCCCAAAGAGGGGGACCCUCGGGCCUCUUGCCAUCGGAUGUGCCCAGAUGGGAUUUGCUUGUUGGUGGGGUAACGGCUCACCAAGGCGACGAUCCCUAGCUGGUCUGAGAGGAUGACCAGCCACACUGGAACGGAGACACGGUCCAGACUCCUACGGGAGGCAGCAGUGGGGAAUAUUGCACAAUGGGCGCAAGCCUGAUGCAGCCAUGCCGCGUGUAUGAAGAAGGCCUUCGGGUUGUAAAGUACUUUCAGCGGGGAGGAAGGGAGUAAAGUUAAUACCUUUGCUCAUUGACGUUACCCGCAGAAGAAGCACCGGCUAACUCCGUG